GACGAACGCUGGCGGCGUGCCUAAUACAUGCAAGUAGAACGCUGAAGAGAGGAGCUUGCUCUUCUUGGAUGAGUUGCGAACGGGUGAGUAACGCGUAGGUAACCUGCCUGGUAGCGGGGGAUAACUAUUGGAAACGAUAGCUAAUACCGCAUAAAAUUGAUUAUUGCAUGAUAAUUAAUUGAAAGAUGCAAUUGCAUCACUACCAGAUGGACCUGCGUUGUAUUAGCUAGUUGGUGAGGUAACGGCUCACCAAGGCGACGAUACAUAGCCGACCUGAGAGGGUGAUCGGCCACACUGGGACUGAGACACGGCCCAGACUCCUACGGGAGGCAGCAGUAGGGAAUCUUCGGCAAUGGGGGGAACCCUGACCGAGCAACGCCGCGUGAGUGAAGAAGGUUUUCGGAUCGUAAAGCUCUGUUGUAAGAGAAGAACGGGUGUGAGAGUGGAAAGUUCACACUGUGACGGUAUCUUACCAGAAAGGGACGGCUAACUACGUGCCAGCAGCCGCGGUAAUACGUAGGUCCCGAGCGUUGUCCGGAUUUAUUGGGCGUAAAGCGAGCGCAGGCGGUUAGAUAAGUCUGAAGUUAAAGGCUGUGGCUUAACCAUAGUAUGCUUUGGAAACUGUUUAACUUGAGUGCAGAAGGGGAGAGUGGAAUUCCAUGUGUAGCGGUGAAAUGCGUAGAUAUAUGGAGGAACACCGGUGGCGAAAGCGGCUCUCUGGUCUGUAACUGACGCUGAGGCUCGAAAGCGUGGGGAGCAAACAGGAUUAGAUACCCUGGUAGUCCACGCCGUAAACGAUGAGUGCUAGGUGUUAGGCCCUUUCCGGGGCUUAGUGCCGCAGCUAACGCAUUAAGCACUCCGCCUGGGGAGUACGACCGCAAGGUUGAAACUCAAAGGAAUUGACGGGGGCCCGCACAAGCGAUGGAGCAUGUGGUUUAAUUCGAAGCAACGCGAAGAACCUUACCAGGUCUUGACAUCCCUCUGACCGCUCUAGAGAUAGAGUUUUCCUUCGGGACAGAGGUGACAGGUGGUGCAUGGUUGUCGUCAGCUCGUGUCGUGAGAUGUUGGGUUAAGUCCCGCAACGAGCGCAACCCCUAUUGUUAGUUGCCAUCAUUCAGUUGGGCACUCUAGCGAGACUGCCGGUAAUAAACCGGAGGAAGGUGGGGAUGACGUCAAAUCAUCAUGCCCCUUAUGACCUGGGCUACACACGUGCUACAAUGGCUGGUACAACGAGUCGCAAGCCGGUGACGGCAAGCUAAUCUCUGAAAGCCAGUCUCAGUUCGGAUUGUAGGCUGCAACUCGCCUACAUGAAGUCGGAAUCGCUAGUAAUCGCGGAUCAGCACGCCGCGGUGAAUACGUUCCCGGGCCU
rnacentral:rRNA from 1 species